GUAGUCUCGCACAGAUGCAUAUCAAUAAGCGGAGGAAAAGAAACUAACAAGGAUUCCCCUAGUAACGGCGAGUGAAGCGGGAAGAGCUCAAAUUUGAAAUCUUAAAGGGUUUCCCUUUACGAAUUGUAGUUUAAAGAAGUGUUUUCUGUUGAGGUUUUGGUAAAAGUUCUUUGGAAUAGGACAUCAUAGAGGGUGAGAAUCCCGUAUUUGACCUUUACUUUCAACUUUGUGAUACACUUUCAAAGAGUCGGAUUGUUUGGGAAUGCAGUCCAAAAUGGGUGGUAAAUUUCAUCUAAAGCUAAAUAUUGGCGAGAGACCGAUAGCGAACAAGUACCGUGAGGGAAAGAUGAAAAGAACUUUGAAAAGAGAGUUAAACAGUACGUGAAAUUGUCAAAAGGGAAGCGUUUGACACCAGUGUUGUUUUUCUGAAAAUCAAUUAAAGAACUGUUUAUGCUAAGUUGUUUAGACUUUAUCAGCUAACUGUUUAGUUUUGAGCUUUUCUUUAAUGCACUUUUCAGUUAACAAGUCAACAUCAAUUUCUUUUGCUGUAAAAAAGCUUGAGGAAGGUGGCUUGAGAUUCGUCUUAAGUGUUUAUAGCCUCUUGCCUAUGCAGUCGGAGAGAUUGAGGUCUGCAGCGUAGAUCCUUCGGGGCUAAAUGCAUUUGUGCUAAGUUAUAACAUUUUAUAGACAACUUGUUGACUAUGAUUUGUCUUGUAGCUUACUCGCUUAUGUUAUUUUACCUACGCUUAGGAUGUUGAGCGCAUGUCUCUCUCU
rnacentral:rRNA from 1 species